rnacentral:misc_RNA from 1 species
GAUGAAGAACGUAGCGAAAUGCGCUAAGUAAUGUGAAUUGCAGAAUUCAGUGAAUCAUCGAAUCUUUGAACGCACAUUGCGCCCGCUAGUAUUCUGGCGGGCAUGCCUGUCCGAGCGUCAUUUCAACCCUCAAGCCCCCGGGCUUGGUGUUGGGGAUCGGCGAGCCUCCGCGCCCGCCGUCCCCUAAAUCUAGUGGCGGUCUCGCUGUAGCUUCCUCUGCGUAGUAGCACACCUCGCACUGGGAAACAGCGCGGCCACGCCGUUAAACCCCCAACUUCUGAACGUUUGACCUCGGAUCAGGUAGGAAUACCCGCUGAACUUAAGCAUAUCAAUAAGCGGAGGA